rnacentral:rRNA from 1 species
GACAGAGGGUGCAAACGUUGUUCGGAAUUACUGGGCGUAAAGGGUGCGUAGGUGGCGCUGUAAGUCGGGUGUGAAAUUUCGGAGCUUAACUCCGAAACUGCAUUCGAUACUGCGGUGCUUGAGGACUGGAGAGGAGACUGGAAUUCAUGGUGUAGCAGUGAAAUGCGUAGAGAUCAUGAGGAAGACCAGUGGCGAAGGCGGGUCUCUGGGCCGAUACUGACGCUGAGGAGCGAAAGCGUGGGGAGCGAACAGG